CGAGCGGAAGUGGGUCUUCGUGAGACGGUGGAGUCUUGCUUGAGCGGGUCUCCUCAGCGGCUGCUGGAUUAGGUGCGUCCUUGCUCGAGCGCGGUGGCCAAGGCGUUUGGCUGAUAACACCAACUCCAAAAUUUAGACAUUCUGAACAUCUAGUUGGCUCCAAAUUGUGAACCACAGGAUGAGUAUUCAGUGGGCAUGAGAGAUUGAGAACAUUCUACCACACCAUAAACCUUGGUGUAGAUCACUUCCUAUUCUGUGGAUUGAAGCCAGAGAGCACAAUGAGUACAAGAAAUCCUCAAAGAAAGCGGCGUGGUGGAGCUGUGAAUUCUAGACAAACCCAGAAGCGAACUCGGGAAACAACUUCAACCCCUGAGAUUUCCUUGGAAGCAGAACCCAUAGAACUUGUGGAAACCGUUGGAGAUGAAAUCGUGGACCUCACCUGUGAAUCUUUAGAGCCUGUGGUUGUGGACCUGACUCACAAUGACUCUGUUGUGGUUCCUUAGAAAGGAGAAGGCCAAGGAGAAAUGGGAGGAGGUUGCGCCAAGACCAUGCUGACAGCUGUGUGGUGAGCAGUGAUGAUGAAGAACUGUCUAAGGACAAAGAUGUAUACGUGACUACCCAUACUCCUCGAAGCACCAAGGAUGAAGGAACUACUGGACUUAGGCCCUCGGGCACCGUCAGUUGUCCGAUCUGCAUGGAUGGAUACUCUGAGAUUGUGCAGAAUGGGCGUCUCAUUGUUUCUACAGAAUGUGGCCACGUCUUCUGUAGCCAGUGCCUCCGUGAUUCCCUUAAGAAUGCUAACACUUGCCCAACUUGUAGGAAAAAGAUCAACCAUAAACGGUACCAUCCCAUUUAUAUAUGAAAUGUUCACAACUGCUCAGGAUAGACCAAUGGACAGACAACCGGGCUGGCUUUUCUGCAUGGUAUCUGCCUCCAGUUUCCUGAGCUCAAAAAGACUUUCAAAAAUC
rnacentral:lncRNA from 1 species